UACUCUUCGUUUUUCUAUUCAACUAACGUUAUUUGAUUACAUACAUGAGGAAUUGAUGUUGGAAGGAAGACGCGACUAUGUGAUAAUACUGUUUGUAACAUUCGAUACAUAAUAACUGUUUAUUCUGCUUAUGUUCUAAGUUUCACCAGCCUUAUUUUAUAAUCAACAUUCGAGGUGCAGCUAGUGUGCGCGGGACCCCCUGCGAGGAGAUGGAAAAACGCGGCAAGGUUCUUGUUAUAGGACAUAGUUUUAUUUCACGACUGAAGAGGCUCCUGGGAUAAAGUGAAUUAUUUCCAGCGGAUUUUAACCUUGCCCAGUGCGAAAUCCGAUGUUACGGAAUAAGCGGAGGACGAGCAGAUAGUUUGCUUCGAGAUCAAGACCUACAGAAUUACAUAACUUCUUUAAAACCGGUAGUGAUUUUACUACAGUUAGGAGGAAAUGACAUUUGUUAUUCAUCUGCAAGACCAGAAAAAGUAGCAUGUAGCAUUGCAGAGCUCAUGGAAAUGCUUGGAAAGAUUAAAAGUGUACAGGUCGGUGUGGUCUGUGAACUUUUUAAAAGACUUAGGCCUAGAAAUAUUCCACCACAGUUGUAUGAGGAAAGGCGGAAGAUAAUCAACAACAUGCUGCCCGUGUUACUUGGAGAUUUAACCCAUAAGAAAAUGUUGUUUUGGCGACAUCUCCGCCUAAUGAACAGCCCUUACAUGUGUUGGGUAGCGAUGGGGUACAUCUAUCUGCAGUCGGUCAUAAGAAAUUUUACAGAAGCAUCAGACUGGCUAUCAUGCAUGCUCUAGAUUUCAUAGUUUGAAUUGCAUGUCAUUAGGGUUUUAUACUCCAGUUCAUUUUGUGUGCAUACAUGACCUCAUUUACCUGACAAAGGAAUUGUUGCAUGUUGCCAUAUCAACAUCAAGAUGUCCACUAGACGGCCAUCUAAACGGAAAAGGCUGGCAUUAACGAGCUAGACUGAGACCAUUCAGCCUCCUACUAUAUCAGUACAAGCGGAGACAUUUCAACCAGAGGCAAUGGACCAAUCAAAGACCAAUGAAACUGUUCAGUCAAUCUCUGCAGCAGUGACCGCUCUGGUAUCAGAAAACUUGAAGGCGUCAGGUCUGUUACCAAAACCAACAGAUGCGAGCAACAAAGCGGCCACAGCAUCCGCAGCAGUUGGUCCAACCUCCCAAAAUGAGGGUAUGCAUGAUCAAAAUAACGACUCAAGUUCAAUUCCUUACAAGGCCACGGUUAAUUUGUAUGUUUGUAUUAUGGAGAUUGUGUAUUUGUUACCUGUGAAUGGUUUUUUUGCAUGUUUUUAGUAAUAGUUCAUUAUGUAAUCAUGCAUUAGUAUUUUGUUUACAUGUAUGUUUUACAUUUUUGUUACCUUUGUCAUUAUGUAAUCAUACAUUAGUAUUUUUAUUUACAUGUAUGUUUUACAUGUUUUUUACCUUUAAAAAUUUUUACCAAGUUUUGAGUAAAAAAAUU